GAUGAUAAUUCCAUUAUCCGGAUGUACACCUGCCAUCAGCUACUGAAGGACCUCUUGGCUGCUUCCAGGUUCUGGCAACGGUCAUUAAAACGGCUGUGAACAUCCACGUGCAGGUUUUGUGUGGACGGCUGACCUGGAGCGCACCGAGGACCGCCAGUCAGCAGUGAGCGCCUGCCAGGCGCGGUUCUGCGGGCCAACGAGGCGGAGCGAGCGGGGAUUUGAAAACCAGCACAAACCAGACCCACAUGGGCUUGGCCCCGCCGGGCUUGCGGCUCCUCAGCUGGGAGUGAAGGUUCUGGAACCGUGUCUCCUGGUUCAUCUCGUCGAGUCUUGUUUUCACGGUGCUGGAUGCCUUCCAGGAGCGGUGAUGCUGACAGCUGGCCCGGGUGAUGUGUAAGCCCACAGGGGCCGCAUCUGGACGGCGCAGCCUGGGAAGCGGCGGCUCCGUCCGGGGUGGCGGGAGACCUUCGCGGGAGGAAAUCCCGUGGUUCCCGUGGGUAGGUCGUCGCAGCGCUCGGCAACCUCCGCUGGCAGGAGGCCCAUCUUCACGUUUGCAGUUAAGCUGUUUCCUCCUGAUCUUUCCAAAAACAGACGGAAAACAGCUGGUUGCCAAACUCGGUAAAGUCCUUUGGGUGAAUCAAAGGAAAAUUUUAUUUUAUCCCUUAAAUUUCUGUUCCAUGAGCUAGAUGACCUUGGUUCCUUGAAUAAAGACAAUUGCGAUUUUUUUCUAUA